rnacentral:misc_RNA from 1 species
GGAAGGAUCAUUACCGAGUGCGGGUCCGCGUGGCCCAACCUCCCACCCGUGCCUAUUGUACCCUGUUGCUUCGGCGGGCCCGCCAGCCUUCGGGCUGGCCGCCGGGGGGCGUCUCGCCCCCGGGCCCGUGCCCGCCGGAGACCCCAACAUGAACCCUGUUCUGAAAGCUUGGUGUCUGAGUGUGAUUGUUUGCAAUCAGUUAAAACUUUCAACAAUGGAUCUCUUGGUUCCGGCAUCGAUGAAGAACGCAGCGAAAUGCGAUAACUAAUGUGAAUUGCAGAAUUCAGUGAAUCAUCGAGUCUUUGAACGCACAUUGCGCCCCCUGGUAUUCCGGGGGGCAUGCCUGUCCGAGCGUCAUUGCUGCCCUCAAGCCCGGCUUGUGUGUUGGGCCCUCGUCCCCCGGCUCCCGGGGGACGGGCCCGAAAGGCAGCGGCGGCACCGCGUCCGGUCCUCGAGCGUAUGGGGCUUUGUCUUCCGCUCUGCAGGCCCGGCCGGCGCCCGCCGACGCAUAACAACUUUUUUUCCAGGUUGACCUCGGAUCAGGUAGGGAUACCCGCUGAACUUAAGCAUAUCAAUAAGCGGAGGAAAAGAAACCAACCGGGAUUGCCUCAGUAACGGCGAGUGAAGCGGCAAGAGCUCAAAUUUGAAAGCUGGCUCCUUCGGGGUCCGCAUUGUAAUUUGCAGAGGAUGCUUCGGGUGCAGCCCCCGUCUAAGUGCCCUGGAACGGGCCGUCAUAGAGGGUGAGAAUCCCGUAUGGGGCGGGGUGUCUGCGUCCGUGUGAAGCUCCUUCGACGAGUCGAGUUGUUUGGGAAUGCAGCUCUAAAUGGGUGGUAAAUUUCAUCUAAAGCUAAAUACUGGCCGGAGACCGAUAGCGCACAAGUAGAGUGAUCGAAAGAUGAAAAGCACUUUGAAAAGAGAGUUAAACAGCACGUGAAAUUGUUGAAAGGGAAGCGCUUGCAACCAGACUCGCUCGCGGGGUUCAGCCGGGCUUCGGCCCGGUGUACUUCCCCGCGGGCGGGCCAGCGUCGGUUUGGGCGGCCGGUCAAAGGCCUCCGGAAUGUAGCGCCCUUCGGGGCGCCUUAUAGCCGGGGGUGCAAUGCGGCCAGCCUGGACCGAGGAACGCGCUUCGGCACGGACGCUGGCAUAAUGGUUGUAAACGACCCGUCUUGAAACACGGACCAAGGAGUCUAACAUCUACGCGAGUGUUCGGGUGUCAAACCCGUACGCGCAGUGAAAGCGAACGGAGGUGGGAGCCCCCUCGCGGGGCGCACCAUCGACCGAUCCUGAUGUCUUCGGAUGGAUUUGAGUACGAGCGUAAAUGUGGGGACCCGAAAGAUGGUGAACUAUGCCUGAAUAGGGCGAAGCCAGAGGAAACUCUGGUGGAGGCUCGCAGCGGUUCUGACGUGCAAAUCGAUCGUCAAAUUUGGGUAUAGGGGCGAAAGACUAAUCGAACCAUCUGGUAGCUGGUUCCUGC